rnacentral:rRNA from 1 species
GACGAACGCUGGCGGCGUGCCUAAUACAUGCAAGUCGAGCGGACCGGAUUGGGGCUUGCCUUGAUUCGGUCAGCGGCGGACGGGUGAGUAACACGUGGGCAACCUGCCCGCAAGACCGGGAUAACUCCGGGAAACCGGAGCUAAUACCGGAUAACACCGAAGACCGCAUGGUCUUCGGUUGAAAGGCGGCCUUUGGGCUGUCACUUGCGGAUGGGCCCGCGGCGCAUUAGCUAGUUGGUGAGGGAACGGCUCACCAAGGCGACGAUGCGUAGCCGGCCUGGGAGGGUGGCCGGCCACACUGGGACUGGGACACGGCCCAGGCUCCUACGGGAGGCAGCAGUAGGGAAUCUUCCGCAAUGGGCGAAAGCCUGACGGGGCGACGCCGCGUGAGCGAAGAAGGCCUUCGGGUCGUAAAGCUCUGUUGUGAGGGACGAAGGAGCGUCGUUCGAAGAGGGCGGCGCGGUGACGGUACCUCACGAGAAAGCCCCGGCCAACUACGUG